CAAUACUCUGUAUAAAACACAGAUUAUUUGUGAGGUGUUAGUGCAACCACUGUAUUAUGCAUUAGCAUACAUCCCAAUGUUAACAGGUUGGUGGGCCUUCUGGGGACAUCACUACUGAUGCAACAUUUGUCAGAAAGUGGGAAAUAUCAGUCUGACGUCAAGCAUGCCAGGAUAACUGACAGCCUUUCUGUGUAGCAUCGAACAGAGAAGACCAUGCAGAGAGCGCUGCUGCAGUUCACUCUGAAUGGUCUUAGUGCCCUCCCCAGAGCAGAGCAUGUAUAAUGAUGUGUUCAUGCUGUGCUGCCUGGGGACAGUUUCCUGGUAUCCCAUGCAGGACACCAAGAGACUAAAAUUAGGACCACAGGACAAGACCCUACAAUGGGAACCUUCCCUCUGAAAUUGGAACUGUUGGUAGGCCUAAGUU